GCCAGACUCCUACGGGAGGCAGCAGUGGGGAAUAUUGCACAAUGGGGGGAACCCUGAUGCAGCGACGCCGCGUGGGUGAAGGAGCACCUCGGUGCGUAAAGCCCUCUCGGCAGGGAAGAAAAGCGAACAGGUUCGCCUGGACGGUACCUGACUAAGAAGCCCCGGCUAACUACGUGCCAGCAGCCGCGGUAAUACGUAGGGGGCAAGCGUUAUCGGGAUUCACUGGGUGUAAAGGGAGCGUAGACGGACUGGAAAGUCAGCGGUAAAAUCGAGAGGCUCAACCUCUUUCCGCCGUUGAAACUGUCGGUCUUGAGUGGGCGAGAAGUAUGCGGAAUGCGUGGUGUAGCGGUGAAAUGCAUAGAUAUCACGCAGAACUCCGAUUGCGAAGGCAGCAUACCGGCGCCCAACUGACGCUGAGGCACGAAAGCGUGGGUAUCGAACAGGAUUAGAUACCCCAGUAA
rnacentral:rRNA from 1 species